GUAAUAGUCAUAAAUUCAGUUUGCUGAGUUUUAUAUAUGUGUGUGUGUGUGACUGCUUCCAAAGGUGCCCACAGGAAGUUCAAGAUAGUAGACCUAGUUGUGCAGGGUCUUUUGUAUGUUGUGAUGGGCUGUACCAUCACCUCUAAUCCUUAUGUCCUUGUGUUUUACUCAGAAAAUGUACUGAUAAGGGUCCAGAAUGGUGUUUAUGUUGAAUUGACUGUAUAUCCUUUGCAUAUGAGACGGGGAGAGUCUUGGUCAAUUACAUAGUUAAAUCUUUUACCUAAAAGUCCAGAUGUUAACAGUCUAAACUGGACAUUUCCUAGUAUCCUAAAAAUGAUUAAAGGAUACCAUUUACUAUAUAUACCACCAUUUAUUUUUGAGCAUUUUAGAGGUGUCUUUCUUGAAGGAUGCUCUUCCAGUGAAGAGGGGUUUCUUCCUAUAAAGAAUAUUCUUGACAAUUGAUAGGUGCUAAUUUCUUGUUUCAGUAUAGUAGUGUGGACCCUUGGCUUUAAAAAAGUAGUUUGGAUUAUCAUCAACCCUUUUGCUUACCAAAGGGUCAUUAAAAACAAACAAACAAAC
rnacentral:lncRNA from 1 species